UACGUAGGGUGCGAGCGUUGUCCGGAAUUAUUGGGCGUAAAGAGCUUGUAGGCGGUUUGUCGCGUCUGCUGUGAAAAUCCGGGGCUCAACCCCGGACUUGCAGUGGGUACGGGCAGACUAGAGUGUGGUAGGGGAGACUGGAAUUCCUAGUGUAGCGGUGGAAUGCGCAGAUAUCAGGAGGAACACCGGUGGCGAAGGCGGGUCUCUGGGCCGAUACUGACGCUGAGAAGCGAAAGCGUGGGGAGCGAACAGG
rnacentral:rRNA from 1 species